rnacentral:rRNA from 1 species
GACGAACGCUGGCGGCGUGCUUAACACAUGCAAGUCGAACGGAAAGGCCCUGCUUUUGUGGGGUGCUCGAGUGGCGAACGGGUGAGUAACACGUGAGUAACCUGCCCUUGACUUUGGGAUAACUUCAGGAAACUGGGGCUAAUACCGGAUAGGAGCUCCUGCUGCAUGGUGGGGGUUGGAAAGUUUCGGCGGUUGGGGAUGGACUCGCGGCUUAUCAGCUUGUUGGUGGGGUAGUGGCUUACCAAGGCCUUGACGGGUAGCCGGCCUGAGAGGGUGACCGGCCACAUUGGGACUGAGAUACGGCCCAGACUCCUACGGGAGGCAGCAGUGGGGAAUAUUGCACAAUGGGCGGAAGCCUGAUGCAGCAACGCCGCGUGCGGGAUGACGGCCUUCGGGUUGUAAACCGCUUUCGCCUGUGGCGAAGCGUGAGUGACGGUAAUGGGUAAAGAAGCACCGGCUAACUACGUG